rnacentral:tRNA from 1 species
GGCCAGUUAGCUCAGUGGUUUGAGUGUGGUGCUGGUAACAAGGACCAACACUGAGACUGCGGGUUUGAUUCCCGCUUGGUCC